AGAGUUUGAUCCUGGCUCAGGACGAACGCUGGCGGCAUGCCUCACACAUGCAAGUCGAACGGAGUUAAGUAGAAAGCUUGCUUUUUGCUUAACUUAGUGGCGGACGGGUGAGUAACACGUGGGCAACCUGCCCUACAGCUCGGGAUACCAUCGGGAAACUGAUGUUAAUACCGGAUACGCUUCAUGAAUCGCAUGGUUUAUGGAGGAAAGAUUUAUCGCUGUAGGAUGGGCCCGCGGUCCAUUAGCUAGUUGGUAGGGUAACGGCCUACCAAGGCGACGAUGGAUAGCUGGUCUGAGAGGACGAUCAGCCACACUGGGACUGAGACACGGCCCAGACUCCUACGGGAGGCAGCAGUGGGGAAUAUUGCGCAAUGGGGGCAACCCUGACGCAGCAAUGCCGCGUGAAGGAUGAAGGCUUUCGAGUCGUAAACUUCUGUCUAGAGGGAUGAAUAAUGACAGUACCUCUGGAGGAAGCCCCGGCUAACUACGUGCCAGCAGCCGCGGUAAUACGUAGGGGGCAAGCGUUGUCCGGAAUCACUGGGCGUAAAGGGUGCGUAGGCGGCCAAUAAAGUCAGAGGUGAAAGGCUACGGCUCAACCGUAGUAAGCCUUUGAAACUGUAGAGCUUGAGUGCAGGAGAGGAGAGUGGAAUUCCUAGUGUAGCGGUGAAAUGCGUAGAUAUUAGGAGGAACACCAGUGGCGAAGGCGACUCUCUGGACUGUAACUGACGCUGAGGCACGAAAGCGUGGGGAGCGAACAGGAUUAGAUACCCUGGUAGUCCACGCCGUAAACGAUGAGUGCUAGGUGUUGGGGGUCAAACCUCAGUGCCGCAGCUAACGCAUUAAGCACUCCGCCUGGGGAGUACGCUCGUAANANUGAAACUCAAAGGAAUUGACGGGGACCNGCACAAGCAGCGGANCAUGUGGUUUAAUUCGAAGCACGCGAAGAACCUUACCAGGACUUGACAUCCUCUGAAGCUANUAGAGAUA
rnacentral:rRNA from 1 species